GACGAACGCUGGCGGCGUGCCUAAUACAUGCAAGUCGAACGCUUCUUUCCUCCCGAGUGCUUGCACUCAAUUGGAAAGAGGAGUGGCGGACGGGUGAGUAACACGUGGGUAACCUACCCAUCAGAGGGGGAUAACACUUGGAAACAGGUGCUAAUACCGCAUAACAGUUUAUGCCGCAUGGCAUAAGAGUGAAAGGCGCUUUCGGGGGUCGCUGAUGGAUGGAGCCGCGGUGCAUUAGCUAGUUGGUGAGGUAACGGCUCACCAAGGCCACGAUGCAUAGCCGACCUGAGAGGGUGAUCGGCCACACUGGGACUGAGACACGGCCCAGACUCCUACGGGAGGCAGCAGUAGGGAAUCUUCGGCAAUGGACGAAAGUCUGACCGAGCAACGCCGCGUGAGUGAAGAAGGUUUUCGGAUCGUAAAACUCUGUUGUUAGGGAAGAACAAGGACGUUAGUAACUGAACGUCCCCUGACGGUAUCUAACCAGAAAGCCACGGCUAACUACGUG
rnacentral:rRNA from 1 species